AUUCAAGUGAUGACAUUAUUGUUCAACUGCUAAGUGAUGUAGAUAUGAACAAAAAGGAAUUCUGAGGGGU
rnacentral:ncRNA from 13 species